rnacentral:rRNA from 1 species
AGUGGCAGACGGGUGAGUAACGCGUGGGGAUUUACCCAGCUCUACGGAAUAACGCAGGGAAACUUGUGCUAAUACCGUAUACGUCCUCCGGGAGAAAGAUUUAUCGGAGUUGGAUGAGCCCGCGUUAGAUUAGUUUGUUGGUGGGGUAACGGCCUACCAAGACUACGAUCUAUAGCUGGUCUGAGAGGAUGAUCAGCCACACUGGGACUGAGACACGGCCCAGACUCCUACGGGAGGCAGCAGUGGGGAAUAUUGCACAAUGGGCGCAAGCCUGAUGCAGCCAUGCCGCGUGAGUGAAGAAGGCCUUAGGGUUGUAAAACUCUUUCACCGGUGAAGAUAAUGACGGUAGCCGGAGAAGAAGCCCCGGCUAACUCCGUGCCAGCAGCCGCGGUAAUACGGAGGGGGCGAGCGU